GUGUUUAUAAUGCUGUGAGUUUAACAAUACAUGACUGACAGCAGAACAGAACACAAUCUUCAUCAUCACACAACACAGAACAACAACAAUGACCUUCAGCAUCAUCUUCAUCUGGACACUGACUCUCUGCAUUCAGGAUAUCUCUGGAGAAGUGACAGUGACUCAGGAUCCAGCAAUAAAAUCAGUUAAACAAGGAGAAACUGUUCAAAUCAGCUGUAAAACCAGUCAGACGAUGUCUGGCUGUAUUAACUGUGUUUCUUGGUAUCAUCAGAAACCUGGAGAGACUCCAAAACUCCUGAUCUUUUACAUAAGAAGACUUUAUACUGGAACUCCAUCUAGAUUCAGUGGCAGUGGAUCUGGAAGUGAUUUCACUCUGACCAUCAGUGGAGUCCAGACUGAAGAUACAGGAGAUUAUUACUGUCUGAGUAGACACUACAUCAACAGUAAAGAUGUGUUCACACAGUGAUAAAGAGUCGUACAAAAACCUCCGUCAGUCAGACUGCACAGUGACCGCAGUGAUACAACUGACAGAUACUGCAGUUUUCAGAGACUAUAAUCAAAUUGAUUUAUAUAUUUACCACUACUUAUUUAUAUCCAAUUAUAUAUUUUUAUUUAAUUUUCAGGAUUGUCUUUACUAUUUUUUCACAGCUUCAGCAUGUUGUGUUUAGUUUGUUAUAGAUGUGUUUUGUUCGAUUAAUUUCGCACUGAUAAAAAACAUCCUUGUCCAUGAAAGAACUCAUCCACUAUCGUUGAGCAAUUGAAGUACAGAAGAAUUGACACAUUGAAUUGAUGUGUGGUGUGAGCUCAUGGUUUGGUUUUUGAAGCACAUUAAUUUUAAGAUAGCAUUGUACACAACAAUUUAGAUUAUAUAAUGCAAAUUAAAAGGGAUAUACAUUAAGAUGAGGUGUCGCAUGAAAUGUCAUCCUAGUGUUGCAGAAUUGUUGGCUAAACUGUACAAAAACAUAAAGGUAUUUCACUAAAAGUGUUAUCUAGUUAUUAGCCCAAUUAACCCCACAGGUUACAAUUGUGAUGGAAAUGUAUAUUUAGUUCCCUAUCUGUCACUCACACGAUGUUGUGUCGAUGUAGUGACACUAGGGGUCACUCUUGGGAGCCCGAGACACCUCUGGUCUUUGAUAAAAGGCCAAUGAAAAUUGGCGAGUGGUAUUUGAAUGCCACUCCCCCGGACAUACGGGUAUAAAAGGAGCUGGUAUGCAACCACUCAUUCAGAUUUUCUCUUCAGAGCCGAACGGUCAUGCUCAUUGAGCUGAAUAUUACUGUUCAUUCACCUUUGCUGGAUCUGAUGGCGCAUUUCAGCGGCUUUUCCCUCCUCUGCACUGGUGCACUGCGGAGAACGCCCCUGGGCGCUUCGACAGAAAAACAAGAGAGUAUAUUUUCUGAAAGAGCUUUUCCUCCUCUAAAAGAGUAUAUAUUUCUCUAAAAGAGCGGCACACACGGAACGUCUUUUUAAAGACGUGUCUUUUUAAAGAUACCUUUCCGAUUGUGUGUUACUCCUGGUUGCGGUCGUUAUCUCUCAACUUCGGAUGGUCAUGAUCGCUGUCUUUCGUGUCUGGGCGUGACCCACAUGGAGGCAGUGUUUGUGGAUGGUUCAUGUUCUCACUGAGAGAACAUGACCAUGGCAACGUUGCGGUCGCGGCUUGCUUUCAUAAGAAAGCAAGCCACCCCAGCGGCUCCCCACCUCGGUCCUUCUACCUACGAGUAUGAGGCCAGCACGGCUAGCACUGGGGGCGAUUUGAGAACCCCAAUGGGAUCGUCUCCGCUGGGUAUCCCCCCGCAGACCUCCCAUUCCCCAGCACGCUCGUCUGCCCCAAUCGGGCUUCCGGAUGAGUUCGCCGGCUCGUCUGGCUUCUUGUUCGGAGCUCGCGAAUAUGAUGAGCUCUCGAGCGCAGCAUCAGAGAGCGGGCUUGUCCAGUUGGACGCAGAAGCCUCAGCUGGGCUUCCCCCUUCGGGGACGAUUGCCCAGUCACAGGCUGAUGCCGAAAUGACGGACAUGCUUUGAAAUUUGGAUUUGAAAUUUGGAUUUCCGGUUUGGCUACACAGUUGAUGGUAGUGUGAGAGAAGCUCUCCCAGUAGGUGAUAUUUUUCCUUCACUACAAAUAUCUCUGUUAAAUAAUUUUAAAUACGAUGGACAGGGGAGAUAGACGCAUAUAUCACAGUCUGUCUCUCUCAUGUUCUUCAAGGACUCUUAUGUUGAAGUUUUCCUCCUGACUACAUCUCCCAGAAUCCACUGACCUCAUCACUUCCAUCUGUUUCCAAUCCUCCUCACCUGUCCUCCAUUCAUCAUCAGUCAUUGUUUGUAUAUAUACCCUCCUGUUUUGUUCAUUCCUUUGUUCAGUCCAUGAAGUGUUAUGCUGCGUUACUAGUUUGUGAUGUUUUUUUGGGGGGGGGGGAUUUUUCCCCUUUUUCUCCCAACUUGGAAUGCCCAAUUCCCAAUGCGCUCUAAGUCCUCGUGGUCGCAUAGUGAUUCGCCUCAGUCCGAGUGGUGGAGGACGAAUCCCAGUUGCCUCCGCAUCUGAGACAGUCAAUAUGCGCAUCUUAUCACGUGGCUUGUUGAGCGCAUUGCCACGGAGACAUAGCGCGUGUGGAGGCUUCACACCAUCCACCGCGGCAACCACGCUCAAUUCACCAUGCGCCCCACCGAGAACAAACCACAUUAUAGCGACCACGAGGAGGUUACCCCAUGUGACUCUACCCUCCCUAGCAACCGGGCCAAUUUGGUUGCUUAGGAGACCUGGCUGGAGUCACUCAGCAUGCGCUCGAACUAGCGAACUAGCGAACUCCAGGGGUGGUAGCCAGUGUAUUUUACCACUGAGCAACCCAGGCCCCACUAGUUUGUGAUGUUUAGCUUUACUGUUAGUUCUACGCCAGUGUUUGUUCCACUCCAGCGAUUGUGAUUGAAAGUUCUUUACUCCUGCAUCUCCUCUUCCACUCCAAGAACCCAUUCGUUACAACAUAAAGGCAGGGGCAUCGUUAGGAUUUUUGGGCCCGCUGACAACUUUGUAUCUCAUCACAACCCAUAAAAUUUCUUGCUUAAGAUUAUCAUUUUUAAUAAAUGUAAAUAUAAGCAUAAUUGCACAUUCAGUAAGAGACACACACUCAAAAUAAGUUUGAAUAGUUUAUUAAAAUAACUAAUUAUGCAUUUAAUACAAAUAA